rnacentral:rRNA from 1 species
CCUACGGGUGGCAGCAGUGAGGAAUAUUGGUCAAUGGACGAGAGUCUGAACCAGCUAAGUAGCGUGAAGGAUGACUGCCCUAUGGGUUGUAAACUUCUUUUAUAUGGGAAUAAAACGUUCCACGUGUGGGAUUUUGUAUGUACCAUAUGAAUAAGGAUCGGCUAACUCCGUGCCAGCAGCCGCGGUAAUACGGAGGAUCCGAGCGUUAUCCGGAUUUAUUGGGUUUAAAGGGAGCGUAGGUGGAUUGUUAAGUCAGUUGUGAAAGUGUGCGGCUCAACCGUAAAAUUGCAGUUGAAACUGGCAGUCUUGAGUACAGUAGAGGUGGGCGGAAUUCGUGGUGUAGCGGUGAAAUGCUUAGAUAUCACGAAGAACUCCGAUUGCGAAGGCAGUUCACUGGACUGCAACUGACACUGAGGCUCGAAAGUGUGGGUAUCAAACAGGAUUAGAUACCCUUGUAGUC